rfam:Gordonia malaquae NBRC 108250 DNA, contig: GM1057.
AUCGGUCCUCGGUAGUGGCUGUCGGAAGUGCAAGGGCACAUCCGGCCGCUUCGAUCGAAGGCCGUC